rnacentral:lncRNA from 1 species
UUUCUUUCGAUAUCAGAGUGUCCCUUUACAGGUUAUGAAAUGGACUUUGGCAUAUGAUAAUUUAUAAAUUCUUACACGGACGCAUUGUUGCUACAAAUAUAUGGUUCAUCAACUAGUUCUCAAUGACCAAAUAAAAUGUCAUGUUGAAAGUAAAAUUAACAUGUCUUUGUUGAUAAAAAAAAGAAAAGAAAAAGAAUUGAACUUACUUCACCGUUGCUUAGAUGAUAUGGAUUGUGAAAUUAUAUCAUAAUUACCUUGUAUAGUUGAUAUAAUUGAUUGCUUGUUAUAAUUUUCAAUGUUUACCGAUAUUUUAUAUUUUCUAGUGAAU